AUUGAACGCUGGCGGCAGGCCUCACACAUGCAAGUCGAGCGAGCGGCGGACGGGUGAGUAAUGUCUGGGAAACUGCCUGAUGGAGGGGGAUAACUCCUGGAAACGGUAGCUAAUACAUACUACCAUCAGAUGUUCCCAGAUGGGAUUAGCUAGUGGGUGGGGGAACUGCUCACCUCGGCGACGAUCCCUAGCUGGUCUGUGAGGAUGACCAGCAAAAUGGUAACUGAGCCAGGGUCCAGUCUCCUACGGGAGGCAGCAGUGGGUAAUAGUGCACAAUGGGCGCAAUCCUGAUGCAGCCAGGCCGCGUGUGUGAAGAAGGCCUUCGGGUUGUAAAGCACUUUCAGCGGGGAGGCGUUACCCGAAGAAGAAGCACCGGCUAACUCCGUGCCAGCAGCCGCGGUAAUUC
rnacentral:rRNA from 1 species